AUCUUCAUCGUCCUGGAAAAUUGAACAGAGGAAACAAUCGGAUUUGCAAGUAAAUCGAGCGGAGAGGUAAACUUCAAGCGGUAUUCAUAUUCACCGCUCAUCACUUGAAGCCUUCAUUCAGCCGGUGUUCAUCUACACCGCAGAAGCAUUGCCCUGUAUUCAUCUACACCGGAGAAGACUUGACCGGUAUUCAUCAAGCGGUAUUCAUCAUAUAUACCGGUCACCACUUGACCGGAUUAGGGUUCAGCAGUGCAGCAACAGAUUCAACAAGGCUUCAUUCUCUAAGGCUUCAAUUGAUGUAUGUCAUAAGAAUGAGUAGAAAGGAAAGGUUUACUGUCAUAUGUUCAAAAGCAUGAACUUGAGGUUGAGGUAGACCAGUUGAAAACAGAGAAAAUCAGCUUGUUAAUUUGAAACAAGAACAAGAAGUAUAUACAAGUAGACUGUUUGAAAUAACAGGAAGCAGUUUAACAGAUUACAAAAUUUCAAAACAGCAGGUUGUGAAUUGUGUGCUGUGUUUGUGAUGUACAGGUUUUAAACAGCAGCUACAAAUAGUUGUGUACAGGUUCUGUGUACAUACAGACUGCAGCAGUUCUGAAUUUUGUUCUGUAUUGAUUGCAGCAGUUCGGCAGAUUGGACAGCAGGUUGCAGGUCUUAACAUAGAGAGCAGGAAGCCGAUUCACAGUGUGCAGGCAACUAUUUUCACAGCAGUAACAGCAAAUCCAACAGCAGCAAAGUGUGCAGGUUUUGUUAGCUGUUGGUGUAAACAGGACACAACAGCAGCAACAGGUUUACAAAAGCAAAGUGGUCUUGCCAGCUAGUCUUGACAGCAGGAAGAAUGAAACAGCAGUUUGCAGUUCUUAACAUCAGUCCAACAUAGCAGCCAGUGUGCAGCAAAGGUUUGAAACAGCAAGCUGUGCUGUGAUGGGUUUUGACAGCGACUAAAACAGCAGCUCAACAGAUUGGUAACUGUUUGUAGACAACAACUUAUUCAGGUUUAACUGUUUUUGGUUUUAACUGUCUUCAUAACUGCUUAAAUUUGUGUUUGUGUUUGGAAAGGAAAACAGCAGCUCAGAUUGCUUUGAAACUGUGCAGCAACUGCAACAGACUACAGUAAAACAUUUUAUAACUCACAACAGAGUUUGUAUCUGAUUUGGAUUUUGGCAUUAACUAGCAUGAACCAUUACUGUUUGCUAUUGGAUUGACUAAAACAGCAGCAGAUAGCAUACAGACUGGAAAGCAUACAGMGUGGUUAACAAUAAUAACAGUUUGAUACUUAAUCUGUUAAACUGUGUGUAAGCUGUUGUGAUUCUACGUUGUUGUUUUGUUUAAACUGAAUUGUUGAGACUUGGACUGUUUUGAUUUAAACUGUGCAGGUUUGUUGGUGUGAUUUGUUGUGGUUUAUCACACAAAUCUUGGUAAGAAGUUGGUGUGAUCAAGAAAAGCAGUAGCAAAGCAUCUGUGUGCAUAAUUAAGAUUGGUUUUGGACAGUUUCACAGAUUUGAAAGACUGUUGAUUUGAUUUUGCUUUCGGGGACUACGUUCAACUUCACAGAAGCACACAACAUUCAAGUGGAUUUUUGUAUACACUUCAGAGAGCAGAUAGAUCAUUUUUUUUAGUGUAAUAUCUGUAUUGUAUUUGGGCUUAGAUUGGUGUGAUUUGGACUCAGACUCAAAUUC